rnacentral:rRNA from 1 species
GAUGAACGCUGGCGGCGUGCCUAACACAUGCAAGUCGAGCGAAAAGACAAGGAGAGCGUGCUCUUAAGGUUAGCGGCGGACGGAUGAGUAACAAGUGGAUAAGCAACUAAUAAGACUGGGAGAACUACGGGGAACAGGUGAUGAUACUGGCGAACAUGACGUACGGCAGGGAGCAAGAGAGAAAGAGGGUCUUCGCGUCAGUAUUAGACGAUGCCGGGCCGCAUUAGCUAGUUGGUAAGGGAACGGCAUACCAAGGCAACGAUGCGUAGCCGACCUGAGAGGAUGAUCAGCCACACUGGAACUGAGCCACGGUCCAGACUCCUACGGGAGGCAGCAGUGGGGAAUCUUCGGCAAUGGGCGCAAGCCUGACCCAGCCACGCCGCGUGAGUGAUGAAGGUCUUCGGGUCGUAAAGCCCUUUUGUUAGGGAAGAACAAAUGUAUGUUUAACUCUGCCCGUUCUGACGGUACCCAAUCAGAAAGCCCCGGCUAACUUCGUG